rnacentral:SRP_RNA from 1 species
GGGUAAGUCCUAUACGACCAGCUCGCUUUUAACUCCCCCAGGGCCUGACCGCAGCAAGGGUAGAAGCUUGAGCGGUGCGAUAUAGUAAGCUUACCUUUU